GGUGCCAGGCUUUUCUGGAAGCAGUGCAACUGCUGCUGAAACUUAUUAACCCUCCCCCUACUACACGCACUUGUAAAACGAAAUUAAAUCACGCUGAAAAUAGCAAUUUUCCCAGGAAUCAUUAAUCACCUCAUACAAUAAAUACUUCUUUGUAAUUCAACAGCAAUUCUGAAAGGCAUUCUCUGGGAAAAGUCUGUGAAGGAGAGAGGGAUCUUCUUGCAAAUAAUGUGGUCUCAGGCAAAGAUACAGCAUCUUGGUUGUCUGCUAAAAAAAAAAAAAAAAAAAGCCUAAACUCUUGGUGGAAAUUGAGUGUCAAGCUGCAAAACCUCAAAUGGCAGAUUAUCAUCAUUUAAGGUAAAUACUUAUAUUUCCUUUGUGGGGAGGAAGGGUUUGGAUAAUUUAGCUCCAUGUUGGAUAUAGAGGUAAAAUGGAUGUCUUUCUUUCAUUUGCUUUUAUAUCCAGAAAAGGAAGAGAGGACUGAGAUAAUUUUUCUGAUAUUCCAGGACAAAGUGGCACUUUUGCCCAAAAUGUAUUGAUUAUUAAGGUAUUGGUGAGGUUUAUAAAACCAAAAUCAUCGGAAGUAAUCCAAAUGAUUAUGCCAUUUCUUUGCACUGUUUUGUCUGCUUCAGGUUUGGCCUUAAAAGAAGCUUGUUAUAACAGCUUGGAAAAAUCUCACUUUGUGUUUCAAAAUCCUGCAUUGUCUGCCCUUUGCUAGGGCAACCAUAAGAGUUCACUGAGAGGACAAAUUUUCUAUCUCAUUAAUUGUCUUUUUUAAAGGCAAACCAUGCUAGCCCCUCAAACCCUUGACCUUUAAAGACAGUAUUUUGUGUAAGCUCUAUAAUUCUCCUAACAAAAUGACCCUUACACAUGCUCUCCUGUUCCCUCCCUUUUCCUCCCUCCCUCCCUUCAAUACACACUCAUCUGCUUUAGUCACAGAGCCAAGUUGUGCAUGACUUUGGAGAUAAAAGUUUUGUCAACAUCUGAAAUCAACCUAAAUAGGAUAGGAGACACUUUAAUGGUCACAGUUUGAAUUAAGUACUUAACACUCUCCCCCUUGUAGAAAAAUGGCACUUUGCAGGCUUUCUUCCCUGAUUUUGCUGAAAUCUACGAUAUACCCGGUGUUUUAUUACAGCAGGAAUUCAACUGUGACAGGCAUAGUAGAGUACUUAAUACCCAGGAUGGAGCUCUUGGGAAGAUUACCUAGAUAUAUGGGGACAGGCCUACCACAGUGUCUCUGCCUUUAUAUCCACCUGUCCCAAGGUGCCCCUUUCCCCCCACUUCUCACCCUUCUCCCCACAGGGUGGGUAUCAUCAUCUCUCCUGCAUCCACCUGUUCCCCUGAGCUUCCAAAUCUGUUGUUCUUGUCACUGAUGGCUAUUUUCUAACAGUUCCAACACAGAAAUAGAUCAGGGACUCUUUAAAAUGGAAGGAAAGAAAAAUCCCAAAGAACAAAUGCAAUAGAAAUCUGAAGCUCCCCAUUCAAAUGCAUAGGUUCUGUGUACGAAAUAGGCCACCCUCAGCCAGGCUUGGUCUCUACAUACCUAGGCACACUCCUAUGUUGAAGAACAUAGGUUCAACCUUUUCCAAGUGCUGUUCCUGGCAAC
rnacentral:lncRNA from 1 species